CUGUUGUAAAGAGUCGGAGAGACGGUAGAUGAGGGUCAGAGAAGAAAAAAAAAAGAGAGUCGAGGCGCGGCCUCGGUGGGGUUAGAUGCGAGGAAGGUGGAGGGAGGGUGCGCAGGCGAUGGCGAGGACGAGGGCGAGGGCGAGGGCACAGGACAGAGAUGACGCGGGCCGCCUUCGCUUCUACCUCCAUCGGCUGUUCAGAGAGAGAAAAAAAGAACGAGAGAAAUAAAAGAGGAAAGAGAAAAGAGAAUACGGAUAUUUUGGUUAGUUUUUUGGAAAUUCGGUCCGAAUCUCCAAAAGUAAAAAAGGGGCAUACUUUUGCAAAAUCUUAAAGCUAAUGAAUUUUUAUGUAAAUUGUCCAUAUAUAUAUAGAAUUAGGGUACUAUAUUAUUUUUAGUACCGGAGCUCCGAUAUUAUAGCUAGUAUAGGA
rnacentral:lncRNA from 1 species